AACGAACGCUGGCGGCAUGCUUAACACAUGCAAGUCGAACGCGGUUCUUCGGGACCGAGUGGCGCACGGGUGAGUAGCGCGUGGGAACCUGCCCUCUUGUGGGGGAGUAACCGAGGGAAACCGUCGGCUAAUACCGCAUAAGCCGGAGAGAUCCGGGAAAGAUUUAUCGCGAGAGGAGGGGCCCGCGUCGGAUUAGCUUGUUGGUGGGGUAACGGCCUACCAAGGCGAUGAUCCGUAGCUGGUCUGAGAGGAUGAUCAGCCACACUGGGAC
rnacentral:rRNA from 1 species